AGUGAACGCUGGCGGUAGGCCUAACACAUGCAAGUCGAACGGCAGCACAGUAAGAGCUUGCUCUUACGGGUGGCGAGUGGCGGACGGGUGAGGAAUACAUCGGAAUCUACUUUUUCGUGGGGGAUAACGUAGGGAAACUUACGCUAAUACCGCAUACGACCUACGGGUGAAAGUAGGGGAUCUUCGGACCUUUCGCGAUUGAAUGAGCCGAUGUCGGAUUAGCUAGUUGGCGGGGUAAAGGCCCACCAAGGCGACGAUCCGUAGCUGGUCUGAGAGGAUGAUCAGCCACACUGGAACUGAGACACGGUCCAGACUCCUACGGGAGGCAGCAGUGGGGAAUAUUGGACAAUGGGCGCAAGCCUGAUCCAGCCAUACCGCGUGGGUGAAGAAGGCCUUCGGGUUGUAAAGCCCUUUUGUUGGGAAAGAAAAGCAGCAGGUUAAUACCCCGCUGUUCUGACGGUACCCAAAGAAUAAGCACCGGCUAACUUCGUG
rnacentral:rRNA from 1 species